rnacentral:misc_RNA from 1 species
GCUUAGUGUUGGGAAUCUACCGCGAGCGGUGCUACCCUGUAGCCACCCUGUAGUUCCUCAAAUCCAACGGCGGAGUUGCAGUCACCUCUGAGCGCAGUAAUCUUUAUCACGCUUCUGUAGGUGCUGCGGCCCUUGCCGCUAAACCCCCCAAUUUUUUAAUGGUUGACCUCGGAUCAGGUAGGAAUACCCGCUGAACUUAA